GUGUUGGCAUUGGCAGCACAUAUACUAAAAUUGGAUACAGAGAAGAUUAGCAUGGUCCCUGCACAGGAAUGACAUUCACAUUCAUAAAAAGCAUUCCAUAUUU
ensembl:snRNA U6 U6 spliceosomal RNA